CCUACGGGAGGCAGCAGUAGGGAAUAUUGCUCAAUGGGGGAAACCCUGAAGCAGCAACGCCGCGUGGAGGAUGAAGGUUUUCGGAUUGUAAACUCCUUUUGUUAGAGAAGAUAAUGACGGUAUCUAACGAAUAAGCACCGGCUAACUCCGUGCCAGCAGCCGCGGUAAUACGGAGGGUGCAAGCGUUACUCGGAAUCACUGGGCGUAAAGGGCGCGUAGGCGGGAUAGCAAGUCAGAUGUGAAAUCCUAUGGCUUAACCAUAGAACUGCAUUUGAAACUGUUAUUCUAGAGUAUGGGAGAGGGAGGUGGAAUUCUUGGUGUAGGGGUAAAAUCCGUAGAGAUAAAGAGGAAUACUCAUUGCGAAGGCGACCUGCUAGAACAUAACUGACGCUGAUGCGCGAAAGCGUGGGGAGCAAACAGGAUUAGAUACCCCUGUAGUC
rnacentral:rRNA from 1 species